rnacentral:tRNA from 1 species
GCCUUCGUGGUGUAGUGGUCAGCACAGUCGACGCGCAACCGAGAGGUGCGGGGUUCGAUUCCCGGCGAAGGCG